AAAAAUUUAGUUAAUAAAUAACAUUAGUUUGUCAAACUAAAAUAAUUAAAUCAAAUUAAUAAUUUUUG
rnacentral:tRNA from 1 species